GAAUACUGAAUGUCUUCAUGCACUACCUGCCUGAUAAGAAACUCAGACCCUCUCAUAUUGUUGUCAGUCAUGGCCUGGAUCUAACCAACAAAUUCAGGAGUUCUUUUCUUAUCAGAACGAUCAGAGUGAGUAUUCUGAGCUGCUGUAUCUUUGUAAUCACUGUUAAACUCAUCCAACUCUUUCUGAAUCCUCUGCACUAUCCUCAGAUUGAUACCCAAACACUCUGAAAUGUUUGUAUUGGAGGUUCCAGCACAAAUGUCAAGCAGUACAACAUGUCAUUUACAAAUUUCUGGCAGAGUGAAUUGUGUCAUGGUGUUGUUUUUCUCACAGUCGGUGCCCAAAUGACCCUACUAUACUGUGUCGUCAACAAAAUCAAAAA